rnacentral:rRNA from 1 species
GACGAACGCUGGCGGCGUGCCUAAUACAUGCAAGUCGAACGAACCGCGACUAAGUGCUUGCACUAAGUCAAGGUGAGUGGCGAACGGGUGAGUAACACGUGGGUAACCUACCUCAUAGUGGGGGAUAGCAGUCGGAAACGACUGCUAAUACCGCAUAGGACAUAGGAUCACAUGAUCCAGUGAGGAAAGGUGGCGCAAGCUAUCGCUAAGAGAUGGACCCGCGGUGCAUUAGCUAGUUGGUAGGGUAAAGGCCUACCAAGGCGAUGAUGCAUAGCCGACCUGAGAGGGUGAUCGGCCACAUUGGGACUGAGACACGGCCCAAACUCCUACGGGAGGCAGCAGUAGGGAAUCUUCCGCAAUGGACGCAAGUCUGACGGAGCAACGCCGCGUGAGUGAAGAAGGUCUUCGGAUCGUAAAGCUCUGUUGUUAGAGAAGAACAGCGCAUAGAGUAACUGCUAUGCGUGUGACGGUAUCUAACCAGAAAGCCACGGCUAACUACGUG